AGAGUCCCAUAUCAAUGAAUCUCUCAUUCCAAAAAAAAAAAAAAAAAAAAAACCCAAUGAACAAUCAAAAAAAGAAUCAUCAAUGUCCUCUACAUUCAUAAUCCACAUCUUUGCUCCCAUAAUCCCUAAAAGACCUUAGCUUUAGGAACUCCAAGAUCUAGAGCCUCUACCCUAAAGUCCAAUCAAACUCAAUCACUAAGAGAAAGUGAAGAUGGAGGAACAAACUGAGAAGGAGUAAAGCAAACGGAGAAAAAGGAGAAUAACGAAUAGGUUUAAUGCAAGUUUUCAACGAUCUCCUCACAGGUACCUUCUCUUUACUCUCUCUCGGAUUUUCCAUCAUCAAUUUUUUGCUUUCAGGCCAAUUUUUUCCUUUGGGUUUUUCAAUUCCUCUCAAAGUAUUCGAAGAAAUCCUUGAACCAACUUUUUUGUCAUCAAUUGCUUCUUAAUUCUAAUUUUGGUGUAGGUGUGCGGACGAACAAAGGAUAUUAUUCAUAUGGAGAAUUUAUAUUUGGGCUCAGAGAAAAUUUUCAUUUGUUGGGAAUGGUAUUGAUGGGUGCGAUGAGGCUUGAGUUGGAGAUGAAAGUCAUUAUUCAGGUUAUGGUUGGAGUGUUGUUAUUUACUAUUUACAGCCUCGCUAUUGAUGUUAUCAUUUGUACAUAAUUUAACCCAAAGGCCAAAUAAAAGUACAUUUUUUAUGAUUAUGCACAUAUAUCUUUUGGUCUUGCUUGUGAUUUUGUAGGGCUAGCUGCUGGUAUGGCAAUUACUUGUGUUGGUGAUGUUGGUGUUAGAUUUUUUGGAGCUAUUCAGAUGAUAAUAUGCUAGAAAAACAAGAGGUCAAUUGAUUACACAGGAGAUGUGCUUGCCUUAUUUGUAACAUUUUUAGACCCAUGGGCAUCCCUUUGUAAUUCAAAGUUUUUUUUUUUUUUUUUGGAUUUGGUAAUUCACAGAUUUUAUUAUUAAAUAUUUGUGAUUGAACAUAAUAUGAUGAUACUCUUAAAGUUUGUAUA